AGUUUCAUACAACCUAUUGUAGGAAUGCCAGGACACCUCCCUCCCAUCCCCAGCUAAACAGCUGAAACCUGAAGUUUUCUGCAAUUAGGAAUUUCAAUUGAUCAUACAACGAAUUGCGAACCCCUUGGUGUUUUUUUUUUUCGGACAAUCAAUCAGAAACCCGGAUGGACAAUUCCAACAACCAAAUAAAUGUAAUCGAGUCCUCAAUGUUGAACAACUGCAAAUCAUUCCGUUGGUUUAACAAUCAAUAAUGAACCCUGUUUGAAUGCCACCAGAACUUGCACGAAUUCCUGUUUAGUUCCUGAGGAAAGCAGCUGCUCACAAAAGAAGGAAUCUCACUUUCGACGUGACCUAGCGUGGAACAUAAAUUGAAACAGAUCCGGUGGCCAAAUCAGAUUUUACAGAGUCUCGGAAGGAUGGCGAAAAAAUGUAAUGUGUCUUUCUGCCUAGUCUAUCAUCAAACCAGAAAACCUUUAUUAUGGAAAGGUUAAUGAUUCCAAAACCACGUGAGAUUUCCCUACAGAACGUCAACCCGUGGUUUAUUGAUGACCUAAAGGAUUAGGGAGAUACAUCAGUAAUAUCAGACUUGCUCUUACUCUGGUCUACCAUGGGAUAGGAAAAUAUCUUACUAAUGGAUGGACGUCUCCCAGAAACAUAUCUAUGACAAAAAAAAACUGUCUCAGAAAAUACAA